rnacentral:rRNA from 1 species
CCUACGGGAGGCAGCAGUGAGGAAUAUUGGUCAAUGGACGAGAGUCUGAACCAGCCAAGUAGCGUGAAGGAUGACUGCCCUAUGGGUUGUAAACUUCUUUUAUAUGGGAAUAAAAUGUUCCACGUGUGGGAUUUUGUAUGUACCAUAUGAAUAAGGAUCGGCUCACUCCGUGCCAGCAGCCGCGGUAAUACGGAGGAUCCGAUCGUUAUCCGGAUUUAUUGGGUUGAACGGGAGCGUAGGUGGAUUGUUAAGUCAGUUGUGAAAGUUUGCGGCGCAACCGGAAAAUUGCAGUUGACACUGGCAGUCUUGAGUACAGUAGAGGUGGGCGGAAUUCGUGGUGUAGCGGUGAAAUGCUUAGAUAUCACGAAGAACUCCGAUGGCGAAGGCAGCUCACUGGACUGCAACUGACACUGAGGCUCGAAAGUGUGGGUAGCAAACAGGAUUAGAUACCCCUGUAGUC